rnacentral:rRNA from 1 species
AUUGAACGCUGGCGGCAUGCCUUACACAUGCAAGUCGAACGGUAACAGGUCUUCGGAUUCUGACGAGUGGCGAACGGGUGAGUAAUACAUCGGAACGUGCCCGAUCGUGGGGGAUAACGAAGCGAAAGCUUUGCUAAUACCGCAUACGAUCUACGGAUGAAAGCCGGGGAUCUGCGGAGCUCGCGCGGACGGAGCGGCCGAUGGCGGAUUAGGUAGUUGGUGGGAUAAAAGCUUACCAAGCCGACGAUCUGUAGCUGGUCUGAGAGGAUGAUCAGCCACACUGGGACUGAGACACGGCCCAGACUCCUACGGGAGGCAGCAGUGGGGAAUUGUGGACAAAGGGCGCAAGCCUGAUCCAGCCAUGCCGCGUGCAGGAUGAAGGCCUUCGGGUUGUAAACUGCGUUUGUACGGAACGAAAAGGUGCCGUCUAAUAAAGGGCGCUCAUGACGGUACCGUAAGAAUAAGCACCGGCUAACUACGUG